GCCCGGGCCGCUGCCUCCGUCGGACGCGGCGCGCGCGACCGUGCGGAGCUGGGCAGGGGCUGCUGCGAGCACGCGGGGCGGCAUUAGACGUAAUCUCACUAUGUCAUCCUCAGUAGAGUGCCAUGGUGUCACAGCUCUCAGCAACCUCAAACUCUUGGGCUUCAGUGAUUCUCUCACCUCAGCCUGCCAAGUAGCUGGGACUACAGGUUGAGGUGGCCGUGUCUGACCAAGAUGUAAACAGGAGUUGCGUGGAAUUUCCAGGUGAUGUCCUUAAAGGGAAAGGGCUCUUCUACUUUUCUCCUUCCUCUAGGCUGCAAUGUGAAUUUAAUACCUGGAGCAUGAACAGCCUUGGACUCUGAAGUAGAAGCCAUGUGCUGAGAAAGAUAGAGCCAGGGAUAGGAACCUGGUUUCCUGGCACCACGGGAAGGCAUGUCAGCUUUGGUGAGACUCCCUCCAGCUCUUUUAUGUGAGAGAGAAAAUGGUCUGCUAUUUUGGUAAGCCCCUGCAAUUUUGGAUUGUCUGUUACUCAUAGCUAAACUUAAUUCAAAUUGAUGAACUCUCAAAUAUGGAAAGAAAUGAUCUCCUUUUGAAAAUACACCAUAUGUGCGCCAAUUAGCUUGGGCUAAUUGUACCACCUCCAUGAAAUGUGGUACCCAUUUCACGAAGUAAUUCAAAUCUGAUGUUCCCAGAGUAAAUAAUAAUAACAUAGCUCAUUCCAAUUUCUUUCUGAGGACAUCAGUACCUCGAAUCUGAUGUUUACUUCCUUUGAAGGAAUAGCAGGUCUAGACAAGUGGGAAUAGGGUAUCUAAAGCAAAUUCAAAGUUGGUUAAAAAGACAAAACAAAAAACAAAUUCAUUUUCAGUUCUGUGUCCAAUAGAAUUGUGAAACAAUCAGCAUAAUGGGUAAUUUGUGUUCUGAUGAAUUCAAAAGAUUAAGUGUUAAAUUAGUAAAUAAUAAGUGAAUUUUGCCUUAUAGUGGAUUGCUUAUGGAGUGCUGGUUAUGUUUUAUUUCUUGACCUGGAUGGUAACUGCAUAUUUUUGCCUUGUAAUUAUCAAUUAAACUGUAUGUAUAUUUGUGUUCUUUU